rnacentral:rRNA from 1 species
UGCCAGCAGCCGCGGUAAUACGGAGGGGGUUAGCGUUGUUCGGAAUUACUGGGCGUAGAGCGCACGUAGGCGGAUUAGUAAGUUAGGGGUGAAAUCCCGGGGCUCAACCCCGGAACUGCCUCUAAUACUGCUAGUCUUGAGUUCGAGGGAGGUGAGUGGAAUUCCGAGUGUAAAGGUGAAAUUCGUAGAUAUUCGGAGGAACACCAGUGGCGAAGGCGGCUUUCUGGGUCAAUACUGACGCUGAGAUUCGAAAGCGUGGGGAGCAAACAGGAUUAGAUA